GUUCGCUGCCCGGCAGAAUCAGUGGCGCUCGAUCAGGUUAGCUAUCCCCGCGCGGGAACAAACGAAUACCGUUUACAGUUUAAUCCUAUGCGUGCUUACUCAUAAGCAAUGCCUUGUGAGUUCAGGGCGGCUUGCUCCCAGAUCAGUUUAUGAGUCUGCGGGAAAUGGCUCACAGAUGAAACUGGGCUCGGUUCCGUUCGCAUUCCUUUGGCACACACUGUGUUCGUUUCUUUCUGUCUUGCGGAAAUAUGCAUAAGGCAUCCUAAACGGCGCAACAACUCCGUGUGUGUCUGUGUGCGCGUGCGCGUGCAUGUGAACAAGUGACCCCCAAGUAAGCAAAAAAGAAGCCGCCUCUGCCACACGUCACCAAGGGG